rnacentral:lncRNA from 1 species
UCUUAUCAAACGUUACCUCUUUCAAAUGCGCAAACGUCAGUGCAUCAUUACCCCAAAUUCCAAGGUCAUUAAAUAGCCACUAAACUGGGAUUUGAGAUUUUAUUAAUCAUAGUUUUUUUCGUUUCAAGGCUAUUCAUUGGUUCCAAACAUGCCAUCUGGCCACGUUCCUGGGUGAAACUUUUCGCCACCUUUUCUUUGCCUAUUUAAGCCUCUUCUUC